GUCUACGGCCAUACCACCCUGAACGUGCCCGAUCUUGUCUGAUCUCGGAAGCUAAGCAGGGUCAGGCCUGGUGAGUAAUUGGAUGGGAGAACCAUACAGCAUUCACUCUUUAAAUCUGGCUUCUUUCACU
rnacentral:rRNA from 1 species